rnacentral:tRNA from 1 species
GCUGGAAUAGCUCAGUUGGUAGAGCAACUGAUUCGUAAUCAGUAGGUCGGAGGUUCGACUCCUCUUUCCAGCA